rnacentral:rRNA from 1 species
UACGAAGGGGGCUAGCGUUGCUCGGAAUCACUGGGCGUAAAGGGUGCGUAGGCGGGUCUUUAAGUCAGGGGUGAAAUCCUGGAGCUCAACUCCAGAACUGCCUUUGAUACUGAAGAUCUUGAGUUCGGGAGAGGUGAGUGGAACUGCGAGUGUAGGGGUGAAAUUCGUAGAUAUUCGCAGGAACACCAAUGGCGAAGGCAGCUCGCUGGAACGGUACUGACGCUGAGGCGCGAAAGCGUGGGAGCAACAGG